GGGCGGGCCCAGGGGCGGGGCGGUGGCCGGGCUGCGGUUGCGGUCCCUGCGCCCGCGGUGGCUGAGUCGCAGGAGGUGGCGAGUAGGGAGUGGAAAGCCACCGUGUCACCCAAUUUGGAUCCUGGCUUCCCUCAAAAGACUCUUAAGGCUAAUCUUUGAUAACCUUCUGGAGUAGCCAACUACAUGUAGAUAUAUAGAUAAACGACUGUUGGUUUUGACCUGAUUUUUUUCAGCCACAUUUAUAUAUAUGGAGUUUCCUCACCAAAGAUGAUGACUUUAAGUAUAUCCCUGGAGCAUUUGGAUAAUGUGGUAGUUGGGAUGCAGUGAUGUCGAAUCUCUGUCCACCGCCAUCUCCGGCUGUUGCCAAGACAGAGAUUGCUCUAAGUGGUGAAUCGCCUUUAUUAGCAGCUACCUUUGCUUACUGGGACAAUAUUCUUGGUCCUAGAGUCAGACACAUUUGGGCUCCAAAGACAGAACAGCUACUACUCAGUGAUGGAGAAAUAACUUUUCUUGCCAACCACACCUUAAAUGGAGAAAUUCUCCGAAAUGCAGAGAGUGGGGCUAUAGAUGUGAAGUUUUUUGUCUUGUCUGAAAAAGGAGUAAUUAUUGUUUCAUUAAUCUUUGAUGGAAACUGGAAUGGAGAUAGGAGCACGUAUGGCCUAUCAAUUAUACUUCCACAGACAGAACUUAGCUUCUACCUCCCACUUCACAGAGUGUGUGUUGAUAGAUUAACACACAUUAUCAGGAAAGGAAGGAUAUGGAUGCACAAGUGAUGUAACUCAAACUUUCAAAAAGCCAGGGAUACCUUCAUUGUGUGAUUUUCUUCAUUUUGCUUUUUUGUACAGGGUCAGAGUAUUAUUCCAAUGCUUACUGGCGAAGUAAUUCCUGUAAUGGAACUGCUUUCAUCUAUGAAAUCACACAGCGUUCCUGAAGAAAUAGAUAUAGCUGACACAGUUCUCAAUGAUGAUGAUAUUGGUGACAGUUGUCAUGAAGGCUUUCUUCUCAAGUAA